rnacentral:tRNA from 1 species
UUAAAUGAACAAGUUUUUAAUUUCGACUUAAAAUUAGUAAUAUUUUAAAAUUCCCAUUUAAA